rnacentral:rRNA from 2 species
CUCGUUGAUGAUCGGUGCUUGCACCGAGAUUCAACAUGGAACGAGUGGCGGACGGGUGAGUAACACGUGGGUAACCUGCCCUUAAGUGGGGGAUAACAUUUGGAAACAGAUGCUAAUACCGCAUAGAUCCAAGAACCGCAUGGUUCUUGGCUGAAAGAUGGCGUAAGCUAUCGCUUUUGGAUGGACCCGCGGCGUAUUAGCUAGUUGGUGAGGUAAUGGCUCACCAAGGCGAUGAUACGUAGCCGAACUGAGAGGUUGAUCGGCCACAUUGGGACUGAGACACGGCCCAAACUCCUACGGGAGGCAGCAGUAGGGAAUCUUCCACAAUGGACGCAAGUCUGAUGGAGCAACGCCGCGUGAGUGAAGAAGGCUUUCGGGUCGU